CAAUAGCGUAUAUUAAAGUUGUUGCAGUUAAAAAGCUCGUAGUCGGAUCUUGGGGCGUUACACGCUGUCGGCCAAGUGGUUUGAACGGCGUGGGCGUCCUUUUUUCUGGGGACUGUCAUCCUUUAACGAGGGUGGGAGAACGCAGAUCUUUUACUUUGAAAAAUUAGAGUGUUCAAAGCAGGCGUUAGCUGUGAAUACAUUAGCAUGGAAUAAUGAAAUAGGACUUGGGUUCUAUUUUGUUGGUUUCUAGGACCGAAGUAAUGAUUAAUAGGGAUAGUUGGGGGCGUUCGUAUUUCUAUGUCAGAGGUGAAAUUCUUGGAUUUUAGAAAGACGAACUUCUGCGAAAGCAUUCGCCAAGGAUGUUUUCAUUGAUCAAGAACGAAAGUUAGGGGAUCGAAGACGAUCAGAUACCAU
rnacentral:rRNA from 1 species